rnacentral:rRNA from 1 species
AUCCGGGAAUCAUUGGGUUUAAAGGGUCCGUAGGCGGGCGUCUAAGUCAGUGGUGAAAUCCCGCAGCUCAACUGUGGAAUUGCCAUUGAUACUGGUCGCCUUGAAUCAAUGUGAAGUGGCUAGAAUAUGUGGUGUAGCGGUGAAAUGCUUAGAUAUUACAUAGAAUACCGAUUGCGAAGGCAGGUCACUAACAUUGCAUUGACGCUGAUGGACGAAAGCGUGGGGAGCGAACAGGAUUAGAUACCCUGGUAGUCCACGCCGUAAACGAUGGAUACUAGCUGUCCGAGCCACAUUGGUGGUUUGGGUGGCCAAGCGAAAGUGAUAAGUAUCCCACCUGGGGAGUACGUUCGCAAGAAUGAAACUCAAAGGAAUUGACGGGGGCCCGCACAAGCGGUGGAGCAUGUGGUUUAAUUCGAUGACACGCGAGGAACCUUACCAGGGCUUAAAUGUAGUCUGACAGGUCUGGAAACAGAUCCUUCUUCGGACAGAUUACAAGGUGCUGCAUGGUUGUCGUCAGCUCGUGCCGUGAGGUGUCUGGUUAAGUCCUAUAACGAGCGCAACCCCUGUUGUUAGUUGCCAGCGAGUCAUGUCGGGAACUCUAACAAGACUGCCGGUGCAAACCGUGAGGAAGGUGGGGAUGACGUCAAAUCAUCACGGCCCUUACGCCCUGGGCCACACACGUGCUACAAUGGCAGGUACAAUGGGCAGCCACGCCGCAAGGCGGAGCGAAUCCACAAAACCUGUCUCAGUUCGGAUCGGGGUCUGCAACUCGACCCCGUGAAGCUGGAAUCGCUAGUAAUCGGAUAUCAGCCAUGAUCCGGUGAAUACGUUCCCGGGCCUUGUACACACCGCCCGU